rnacentral:rRNA from 1 species
CUACGUGCCAGCAGCCGCGGUAAUACGGAAGGUUCGGGCGUUAUCCGGAUUUAUUGGGUUUAAAGGGAGCGUAGGCCGGAGAUUAAGUGUGUUGUGAAAUGUAGACGCUCAACGUCUGACUUGCAGCGCAUACUGGUUUCCUUGAGUACGCACAACGUUGGCGGAAUUCGUCGUGUAGCGGUGAAAUGCUUAGAUAUGACGAAGAACUCCGAUUGCGAAGGCAGCUGACGGGAGCGCAACUGACGCUGAAGCUCGAAGGUGCGGGUAUCGAACAGGAUUAGAUACCCUGGUAGUCCGCACAGUAAACGAUGGAUGCCCGCUGUUGGUACCUAGUAUCAGCGGCUAAGCGAAAGCAUUAAGCAUCCCACCUGGGGAGUACGCCGGCAACGGUGAAACUCAAAGGAAUUGACGGGGGCCUGCACAAGCGGAGGAACAUGUGGUUUAAUUCGACGCAACGCGAAGAACCUUACCAGGUCUUGACAUUGAUGGACAGAACUAGAGAUAG